rfam:Bombyx mori DNA, contig: Bm_scaf1_contig172, strain: p50T/Dazao, build 2, whole genome shotgun sequence.
UUAACUCAAAUUUGUAUGGAGUUGGAACGUUUGCCUACGUUUCCCGCUAGGGGCGCUGUUCUAACUGUAUACAAAUUUGAGUUA